UACGUAGGGUGCGAGCGUUGUCCGGAAUUACUGGGCGUAAAGAGCUCGUAGGUGGUUUGUCACGUCGUCUGUGAAAUUCCGGGGCUUAACUUCGGGCGUGCAGGCGAUACGGGCAAUACUUGAGUGCUGUAGGGGAGACUGGAGUUCCUGGUGUAGCGGUGAAAUGCGCAGAUAUCAGGAGGAACACCAAUGGCGAAGGCAGGUCUCUGGGCAGUUACUGACGCUGAGGAGCGAAAGCAUGGGUAGCGAACAGGAUUAGAUA
rnacentral:rRNA from 1 species